UUUUCAAGAAGUGCCGUCAUUCUGAAGAAUAUUCCUGGAUGCUGAACAUAUCAGUCUGUACUCUAGUGCUGUUCCUCAGGAAGGAAGCAAGCAGAUCCAUUCCCAGUGUGAGAAAAUAGGAGAUGAAGACAAAUCAUAGAAGACAGACAGAAGAAAUAAGCAGACGAAAGGAUACAGGACAUUUAUUUCCCAGUGUGCUGUAUCCAAAAGAAAAUGUUUUAUGUCUAGGAUUGGAUGUACUGGCAUGGAAGAGGGCCAUUGCUCCUAAACCACAAAAAAGAGCAAAAGCCAUUCUUCCCUGUAUUAAAUUUUUCUAUAUCCAAUAAAAACCCCAGAAAUGAAUCUUGAGAAUUCA